GUUCGCGCAGGGCAGGCUGGGACGGGGCUACCCUGGGUCCCUGCGCCGAGGUCUCCUGAGCCUCCUCGGCGCUGAGGAGAGACAGCCCUGUGCUCAGCACCUGUUACCCUGAGAAAACAUUCGAACCUGCAUGGGAUUUUUAUGAGUUUAUUUGAGCCAAACUGUUGACAGUUGCCUGGAAGCAGAAUCUCAACGUCUGUCCCGGACAAGGGCGGUUUUCGCCCCGUUUUAUCCAUCCCAUCCCAGGAGGAGAUGAGGCCUGUGCCUUUCCUGGAGGUGCUGCACAGCCACCGGGCAGCAGAGCCUGAGAAGCCCGGGCGGCGAGAGCAGGAAGCCCAGGGGAGCACCUGACAUCGGCUGCCACUCUACUCCGUGAUGGCUGCUCCCAGUGAGGCCGAGGCUGGCCCGGCAGAAGGGGACAGGUAAGAGCUGAAGGGCACGCAGAACGCAUUGCGAGCUACAGUCAGGGCGGCUGGGCCAGCGGGCACUCCAGCCUCGGAGCAGGUGAGCUCCCAAUGGGCAGGGGAGAGCGAAGUGCAGCCCCGAGUCAGCUCACCCCUGGAUGGUAAGGUGCCUGUCAUUCAUACAUUCAUAAUUGGUUUGUUUUCUUAUGUGUUCUUUGUUGAGAAGUGUAACGCCUGGGAUUUAAAAGGUGCUUCUGGCAGUUUGUGAAACCUAAUAAAAUCACACAGGCUUUUCUGGU